GACGAACGCUGGCGGCGUGCCUAAUACAUGCAAGUAGAACGCUGAAGAGAGGAGCUUGCUCUUCUUGGAUGAGUUGCGAACGGGUGAGUAACGCGUAGGUAACCUGCCUUGUAGCGGGGGAUAACUAUUGGAAACGAUAGCUAAUACCGCAUAACAAUGGAUGACCCAUGUCAUUUAUUUGAAAGGGGCAAAUGCUCCACUACAAGAUGGACCUGCGUUGUAUUAGCUAGUAGGUGAGGUAACGGCUCACCUAGGCGACGAUACAUAGCCGACCUGAGAGGGUGAUCGGCCACACUGGGACUGAGACACGGCCCAGACUCCUACGGGAGGCAGCAGUAGGGAAUCUUCGGCAAUGGGGGCAACCCUGACCGAGCAACGCCGCGUGAGUGAAGAAGGUUUUCGGAUCGUAAAGCUCUGUUGUAAGUCAAGAACGAGGGUGAGAGUGGAAAGUUCACACUGUGACGGUAGCUUACCAGAAAGGGACGGCUAACUACGUG
rnacentral:rRNA from 1 species